ACCUGCCGAAUGAAUUAGCCCUGAAAAUGGAUGGCGCUGAAGCGGGUGGCCGACACCACGCCGUGUGACCGAGUAUUGAUUGUCACAUGAGUAGGAGGGCGUGGCGGGCGUGGAGAAGCAUGGGCGCGAGCCUGUGUGGAACGGUCCGCUAGUGCAGAUCUUGGUGGUAGUAGCAAGUAUUCAAGCGAGAACCUUGAAGGGCGAAGCGGGGAAGGGUUCCACGCGAACAUUGAUUGGGCGUGGGUGAGUCGUUCCUAAGCCGAGUGGCAAUUGCUAAGUAGCGGCGAAAGGGAAGCGGGUUGAAAUUCCCGCACACGGAUGUGGAGAGCGGUGACGCGAAAUGAGGCGAACACGCUGGCGACGGCGCUGGGCAGAGUUGUCUUUUCUGUUUGACCGAGUGUACGGGCUGUGUGGAAUCCGCUUGUCGGGAGAAACACGCUUGUACGGGCAGAGCGCCGGGGCUUUUCCGGCGUCCAGCUCGCCGUCGACGGCCCUUGAAACUUUGCCUGCUGAAAUUAUUUUUUUUAAAUCCACGCCGUGGCGUACCGAUCACCGCAUCAGGUCCCCGAGGUGAACAGCCUCUGCUCGAUAUGAACAAUGCAGGUAAGGGAAGUCGGCAAAUUGGACCCGUAACUUUGGGAAAAGGGUUGGCUCUAGUGCUGCGUGGGAGAGGUUGUCUGUGUGUGGGGGCGGAGGGUGGGCCGGCUCGGCGCGGUUAGCCUCGCAAGGGGUCUACUGUUCUGGGCUGCUCGCUCACUGUUUCCGCCGCGGACGACGCCCACGGCAUGCAGCAGACUAGAACUGCAACGGGCAAAGGGAAUCCGACUGUUUAAUUAAAACAAAGCAUUGAGAAGG
rnacentral:rRNA from 1 species